rnacentral:rRNA from 1 species
AGAAUUCUCACCAGGCCCUGACACUGGAAGGAUUGACAGAUUGAUAGCUCUUUCUUGAUUCGGUGGGUGGUGGACACUGGUGGUGCAUGGCCGUUCUUAGUUGGUGGAGUGAUUUGUCUGGUUAAUUCCGUUAACGAACGAGACCUUAACCUGCUAAAUAGUGACGCGGUUCAUCGAACCGUGGGCCACUUCUUAGAGGGACUAUCGGAUUCAAACCGAUGGAAGUGUGAGGCAAUAA